rnacentral:lncRNA from 1 species
AUUUUAUUCAAUGCUAAGUAAAUAUAGUUUUAAAUAUAAAUAUUAAAAAUAAAAAUAUGACGGAUUUGAAUACAGUUAUGAAUUUUGAUUGUAUACGAUCCGAACCGGAAUCCGACUUAAAUUCAAAAUUAUUUUACAUUAUAUAAUAUAUAUAUAUAUAUAUAAAAUAUUAUAUUUAAAUUUGUAUUUUAAAAAUUUAGAUUUAAUAUAAUAUAUUUUGAAAUAUUGUAAAGAUAAAUGGAUUCUAAUUUUCGGGUUCGGGCUCGGAUUUGGGUUUUGAAUUUUUGGUCGGAUAUGGGUUUGAAUAUGAAUUUUUAAAAUCCACUAGGUUCAGGUUCGGAUUCGAAUUCGAAUUCGAAUUUUGGAUUGGGUAAUCGGAUUCGGGUUCGGAUUUUUGAAAAUCUGCCCUAAAUCAGAACGNCUCUUUGUUCGAUGGGUUAAGUCAAGCUGAGAGAGCGGGACAAAGAGCGGAGAAAAAAACAAUCCAUACACUACUGGAUUUAGGAAUUUCACUGGAUACAGAUACUCAAAAUUUAAAUUUUAUCCGAAUUUGAAUUCGAACAGAGUAAUUUUAUUCAAUGCUAAAUAAAUAUAGUUUUAAAUAUAAAUAUUAAAAAUAAAAAUACGACGGAUUUGAAUACAGUUAUGAAUUUUGAUUGUAUCCGAUCCGAACCGGAAUCCGACUCAAAUUCAAAAUUAUUUUACAUUAUAUAUAUUUAUAUAUAUAUAUAUAUAUAAUAUUAUAUUUGAAUUUGUAUUUUAAAAAUUUAGAUUUAACAUAAUAUAUUUUGAAAUAUUGUAAAGAUAAAUGGAUUCUAAUUUUCAGGUUCGGACUCGGAUUUGGGUUUUGGAUUUUUGGUCGGAUAUGGGUUUGAAUAUGAAUUUUUAAAAUCCACUAGGUUCAGGUUCGGAUUCGAAUUCGAAUUCGAAUUCGAAUUUUGGAUUGGGUAAUCGGAUUCGGGUUCGGAUUUUUGAAAAUCUUCCCUAAAUCGGACCAGUUGACAUNAUUCGAAUUCGAAUUCGAAUUUUGGAUUGGGUAAUCGGAUUCGGGUUCGGAUUUUUGAAAAUCUGCCCUAAAUCAGAAAAAAAAAAAAAAAAAAAAAAAAGGUUUAGAAUAUGAUAUUUACAUUGUUGAUAUGAUAUUUUUUGUCAAUCAAAUUGUGCAUUUAAAAUAUAUCCAUCUUACCAUAAUUUUUUUUAAAAUAUUUUUAUUAUAUUAUUAUUCUAAAAAAAAAAAGAUAUAUAAUUGGCUGACUAUAAAUGAUAUGGUGGGUCUGUCAUAUAUAAACUACUUCUAGAUCGGAUAUUCAUCUUAUACUAUAAAUUUCAAAAUUUAUUUUUUAAAAAUUUUUUAAUAAAAGUAAAAAAAUAAUAAUAAAACAAGUGGGUGAAUAUAUAUAGGUCAUUUCUAUACUUAAANACUAGGUUCAGGUUCGGAUUCGAAUUCGAAUUCGAAUUUUGGAUUGGGUAAUCGGAUUCGGGUUCGGAUUUUUGAAAAUCUGCCCU